rnacentral:rRNA from 1 species
UACGGGGGGGGCAAGCGUUGUUCGGAAUUACUGGGCGUAAAGGGUUUGUAGGCGGCUUUUUAAGUCAGGGGUGAAAUCCUGGAGCUCAACUCCAGAACUGCCUUUGAUACUGGGAAGCUUGAGUCCGGGAGAGGUGAGUGGAACUCCGAGUGUAGAGGUGAAAUUCGUAGAUAUUCGGAAGAACACCAGUGGCGAAGGCGGCUCACUGGCCCGGUACUGACGCUGAGGUGCGAAAGCGUGGGGAGCAAACAGG